UUCACUUGUGUGACAUUCUGUUGGUGAAAGCCUGGAUUCUCAGAAUGAAGAUGCAGCUCCACCUCUGGAUGGUGAACACUGAAAUCAUACUAUGGAGUGUGUGCACAUAGGGAGGGGCAGAAGAGAGGGCUGUCUCUCCCAGGAGAACCAGAAAAUGUUGGAAGAUGUUAAGAUCCCCGAUUACUUAGAGGAAAAACAACUAAAACAAGAACACUGUUUAUCACUGUCGUGGAAAUUUCCUUUUAUUCUUGACACAACUUGAUGACUUAAAGAGUGUUUUCUUCUGUGUGAAGUACGUGAGCUUUCU